rnacentral:lncRNA from 1 species
CCCGACACAAACUUUAUGGGACCUGGUGCAAAUCUCCAUAACCGAGAGAAUAUUAAUGGAACACAAAUACCUUGAUCCAUAUCAGUCUAUAGACUCAAGCUGUAUUCACCGUUUCUAAAGUGUUAAACACUUGACCCUUACCUUACAUCUCAAAUAUGUCAAUUAACGACGAACCGAAAUAUUGUUCUUUCUAUUAACCCGGCCUUCAGAAGACCAACCAGGACGUGUACCGCAUCUAAAAGGUCUAGCAAAGGUAAACUUCGAUAGGAAUCAAAGAGCUACACUAAAAAAAAGAGGGUACUCCUAGUCAAUCAAUUAUUGGAAUAGACAACCAGACCAAACAGUAU